rnacentral:rRNA from 1 species
UUGACCUCGGAUCAGGUAGGGAUACCCGCUGAACUUAAGCAUAUCAAUAAGCGGAGGAAAAGAAACCAACCGGGAUUGCCCCAGUAACGGCGAGUGAAGCGGCAAGAGCUCAAAUUUGAAAUCUGGCCCCUCCGGGGUCCGAGUUGUAAUUUGCAGAGGAUGCUUCGGGUGCGGCCCCUGUCUAAGUGCCCUGGAACGGGCCGUCAGAGAGGGUGAGAAUCCCGUCUUGGGCAGGGUGCCCGUGCCCGUGUGAAGCUCCUUCGACGAGUCGAGUUGUUUGGGAAUGCAGCUCUAAAUGGGUGGUAAAUUUCAUCUAAAGCUAAAUACCGGCCGGAGACCGAUAGCGCACAAGUAGAGUGAUCGAAAGAUGAAAAGCACUUUGAAAAGAGAGUUAAACAGCACGUGAAAUUGUUGAAAGGGAAGCGCUUGCGACCAGACUCGGCCUCGGGGUUCAGCCAGCAUUCGUGCUGGUGUACUUCCCCGGGGCCGGGCCAGCGUCGGUUCGGGCGGCCGGUCAAAGGCCCCAGGAAUGUAUCGUCCUCCGGGACGUCUUAUAGCCUGGGGUGCAAUGCGGCCAGCCUGGACCGAGGAACGCGCUUCGGCACGGACGCUGGCGUAAUGGUCACAAACGACCCGUCUUGAAACACGGACCA